GGUGGUAUGGCGGAGAGGCUACGCACUGGACUGCAAAUCCAUGUACAUCGGUUCGAAUCCGGUUACCACCUCCA
rnacentral:tRNA from 1 species